UACGUAGGGUGCAAGCGUUACUCGGAAUUACUGGGCGUAAAGCGUGCGCAGGCGGUUGUGCAAGACAGAUGUGAAAUCCCCGGGCUUAACCUGGGAACUGCAUUUGUGACUGCACGGCUAGAGUGCGGCAGAGGGGGAUGGAAUUCCGCGUGUAGCAGUGAAAUGCGUAGAUAUGCGGAGGAACACCGAUGGCGAAGGCAAUCCCCUGGGCCUGCACUGACGCUCAUGCACGAAAGCGUGGGGAGCAAACAGG
rnacentral:rRNA from 1 species